UACAGAGGGGGCAAGCGUUAUUCGGAAUUAUUGGGCGUAAAGGGCGCGUAGGCGGCUUUGCAAGUGACGGGUGAAAUCCCUCGGCUUAACCGAGGAACUGCCUGUCAGACUGCAUGGCUUGAGACCAGGAGAGGUGAGUGGAAUUCCCAGUGUAGCGGUGAAAUGCGUAGAUAUUGGGAGGAACACCAGUGGCGAAGGCGGCUCACUGGACUGGUACUGACGCUGAGGCGCGAAAGCUAGGGUAGCAAACGGG
rnacentral:rRNA from 1 species